UGAACAUCUCCUUGGUUAUUCAUCUUCAGUUAUUUGAUUGAUCUUGUUACUGUUAAGUGUCUUGUCAUUUUUAUGAUCGGCAUGGAAUAAUAGUGUUAUCAUUAAAUGUAUAUCAAUAAGGAAGAUAAAUGCUAAUCUUUCUUGGCUGUGCUAUGAUAGACGUGGGAACUUUUCAGGAUUUUGCUUAUCUUACAAGUAUAUCUCAUCCUGAAAUUUCUAUGAUUUUUUUUUUCCCUUUUUAACAAGGAAAAAUUGGUUGGAUUCAAAGUGGCUAAUGCUGAUAGGGCAUCUCAAGAUAUACUAUCUAAAUUUUUUUUGGGCAUGUAGCACAAUUUGUGUUAAGUAAUUAGGAGCAAGUAGGUUUUGAUCCAUCUGGGGAGGUGGUUGUGUGGGAGCAAAGUAAUGAGAAUUGGGAUGGGAAGGUUGACUUUGGUAAGCUCCAUCAACUACGGUGAUGCAAGUGUCCACUUGGUAUAGGAAAGGCAAGGCUCACGUGUGGUAGCGGGGAAUGCUUCUCGAGGGUUCGGGUUUGAGGGUUUUUGGUUUUUGAGGGUUGUGUUUUUUUUUCUUUUUGGUGGGCUGCUUUGACUAUUCUUGUGUACUUAGGGGCACCUUACAAUUUUUUAAUAAAACUUUCUUACUUAUAAAAAAAGAACAUGUAAAAGCUCUAAUAGCAAGCUUAUAAAAAAUAAAAAAAAAAGAUUAAAUAUUCCGUGAUAAUCUAUGCUCAAUGAAAACAUUGCAUUCAUCACCAAUUCAUACCAAUUCACAGAAUUAUUUAAAUUUUAAGGUAUUAUAUCUUGAGAUAUUAAUUUAGAUAAUAUAUCCAAAUAUAUUUGGUUAAUAAGAUCCAAAACGUUUAUUGAUCUGGUGCAUAUUCAUAAUCAAUAUAUAGAGAUUAUUGUGUGUCAAAUAACAUCAAAAGUAUCGGGUUUAGAAGAUAGAAUGUGUAAUAGUUUUUUGCUUGGAGAACUAAUUGAAUUGUUGCGGGUGGAAGUAGCAUGGCAUGUUUUGGAAGAAGUGAUAUGUUACCAAGCCAUCUUAGUUGGGAAUAAUAUGACUGAUUGCCUCUACAUCUACUUACAUUGGUUAGUAUUGUGUGGAAUAAAGAUGCGAGGGUGGCAGAUAAUUUGGUUGUUCAAAAUGGAGUUAUUUAGUAGAAUGUUAUUUUUACGCAUCCAGUCAAGGUUUGGGAGAUGGAGAUGGUACUUUCUUUCUUCGCUCGGCUUUAUUCUAUUUCGAUUUGACAUGGAGAGGAUGAUAGGUUAGUUUGCAGCCUCUCCAAAAGGGGUCUAUUUGAAGUGAAGUCUUAUUAUGAAGUGUUAAAUAGGAAAGAUGACCCUUCAUUUCCUUGGAAGAGUAUCUGGCGAGUUAAGGCUCUGGCAUGGGUGGCUUUCUUUGUAUGGACAACAGCUUUAGGUAAAAUUUUGACACAUGACAAUCUGCGAAAGAUGAACGUCGUGGUGAUUGAGUGGUGUUGUAUGUGUAAAAAGAGCGGGGAGCCCAUUGAACAUAUGCUACUUCAUUGCGAAGUUGCUCGCGAUCUAUGGAGUUACAUUCUUACUUUAUUUGGGGUUGAGUGGGUUAUGCCACGAAGGGUGCUGGAAUUGUUGACUAGAUGGGGCGCGUCAUUUGGGUAUGGUCCAGCUAAGGAUGUUUGGUGGUUAGUUCCGUUGUGUUUAAUGUGGUGUCUUUGGCAAUAGCGGAAUGCGUGGCAUUUUGAAGAUGUAGAGACAUUGAUGUUGGAGCUACGGAAACGUUUGCUUAACAUGUUAUAUAUUUGGAUAGCGGCUCAACAUAGCUUGAGUAUUUUUACUUAUGCAGAUUUUUUAAAUUUAUUUUCUGUUUGUUCCUAUUAGGGGGUACUCUUGUAUACUUCCUGUGUAUUGGGGUUGCGCUCAUCUGCGCUUUAUUAUUGAAUUGACAUUACUUAUUAAAAAAAAAAAAAAACAUUGGUUAGUAAAAAGCCCCAAUAAAAUAACCACUAAAAGCGAAAUGUAAAAAAGGAAAACGUUUAGUUCUAACCCCCCUUUUUAAUGAUCUAUCUUCUUGGAAAAAAAAAGUAGUAGCAAGGAGAGUCCUGGUAUUACAAAUUGAAUAUUCUGUGAAAUUCAUUGUUUUGGCAUGCUAAAAAGGUUUCAUGGCAUACUAUUUUUAAUAUAAAUAUUGGCAACUUCCAGGGAAAUUUGAUCUUGUUAAUAAUUACUCAUAAAAAAAAAAGGGGAAAUUUGAUCAUGUUAAUAGAGAUGUUGAAGUGAAAGAUUUGCCUAUAGCCACAUCAAAGUUAUAGGGUAGUGAUGAACCAUGAAGAAAUGAGCAUGGGUGUAUUGCAAUAAGAACCAAAAUUCUUUUUUAAUUGACGGUUGAAGGGACCGGAAUCUAACCCCACAACACACAAGCACAAUAAAACAAUAAUAUAUAUAAAUAAAUUGCCGCAAUAAACAGAAUAUAAGCAAACCACAAAGUAUAAGCACCUAACAAUCAACACAAUGAUUUUGUUUACGAUGUGAAAACCCUUUGAGCACCUCAAAUGUAAAACUACUCCAGAGCAGCCAAAUCUAUGAAGUCAAUCACUAUAAAAGAUUCAAGUAUAGACAAAGUAAACUUACCACCCCUUUGUAAAAUACUCAUACUCUGUAGCAAACAAACUAUUCACUUGCUUUCUUGCCUCCUCGACAGGCUCCAGCUCCUUACCGGACAAUCUUAUAUAUAUGAUUUCCUUACUGACCCUCCGGUAGACUUCAAGCGGUUGAAGGUUUAAUGAAGGUGGUGGUUUAAACAACAAAACUACGAGAGAGGGGAAGCAUUAAAGGCUCUCAACAAUGGCUCUCUUGGCUCACAAAGGAUUUCUUGCGGUGCAGGGCGAAUUCAAAAGCGUCAGGACCUUCACUAAGGUUUCAUUGCUAAUUUCAGUGACAACUCAGCAAUGUCUAGACGGUCUUGCUGAUGGAGAUCUUUGGAAGUCAUCUUCCAUUGGCAACAUCAAGAAGGUCUUGGUGACGGAGUUCUCUGGAGUCUCCUAUUUCAUCUAGCAUCAAGGCGUGCUACUGAUGGAGCUCUUGAGUAGGCUAUGGAAGUCAUCUUCCAUGAGUGACGUCAGGACAUCUUGCUAACGGUCCUGGUGACGGAGCUCUCGGGUAGGCUUUGGAGGUUUGGAAUCACGAAACACUCUCUCAAGUAGGCUCUGGAAGUCAUCUUCCAUGAGUGACGUCAGGACAUCUUGCUAACGGUCCUGGUGACGGAGCUCUCGGGUAGGCUUUGGAGGUUUGGAAUCACGAAACACUCUCUCAAGUAGGCUCUGGAAGUCAUCUUCCAUGAGUGACGGAAGGACAUCUUGCUUACUGUCCUGGUGACGGAGCUCUCGGGUAGGCUUUGGAGGUUUGGAAUCACGAAACAAGUCAGGACGGUUGGUGACGGUCAUGCUAACGGUUUACAAUAACUUCAAAUUUAAAGCCUAACUUUUUACACCAAAAUACUUGGGUGUUAAAAAGUUUACAACCCUAGUUUUAAUCACCGAAUUGAGCCAAUUUCUAAGACCUAACAAUGGCCAUCCUAGUUGUAUUAUAUCAUCUGCAUUUUAAUUCCUAGUUCAACUUUUCCUCUUUUCAGUGCCACUGUUAACUAGAUUUUUAAUUUGGCCAAAACCUACAAAAAGAAAAUCUAGAUAUUUUUACAUAGUAAAUCAAUCAAAGAUGUAACUAACAAAGGAUCAGUAUAAUCCAUUCUAAUAUGCAUGGUUUUUCCAUUGGAGGGUUCCAACUUGAGUAAAAAGUAUAAAUUAUUUUUUUAUCAUCUCAUCCAAGUAACCAAUUCUUUUAUAUUAAAUGAAACUUCUAGAAUAAUAUAAAAGAUAAACUACGUUGGAUUCCCAUAAUUUAUUUUUAAUUCUGCCACUAGGAAUGAAUAGGGUUAUCAUAAAUUGGUUUCUUGUCAUGCUUGCUUUUGAAACCUGACUAGUAUUUUAGCAUUUAAUUGAAGAUUUCAUGGGGAAAAUAGAGAAUUUUGUAAGGUUUCGUUGUACUUGGAAAAAACCCAUACUGCUGAUCAUUCAGUUGUAAUUUAGAGAGUUGUAGUAUAUUUUGGCUGAAGAAGAGAUUUAUGAUGGAGUUAUGGAAGCUCUGGAGAAGUUGGGGAAAGAAAUUAUUUUGUUUUUACACCACCUACUAACUGUGCUUGUAUUAGUUACCAAAAAAAGAAAUCAUACUUCUGUACUUGAGACGUGUUUUGGACCUGUUGGACUAAAUUUAGGUCAAAUGUUUAUUCAGGUCUAAAUAAUGCAUACAUUCAAAAGUUUAGUUUGAGAAGGCGACUACAUCGAUGGAAUGGAGUGUGAAUUUGUUUAAGUUGGAGGGAGUUAGUAAUUAAGAACGUUACAUCAACUGUCAAGGAAAACUGUGUCAACAAUUAUUAACAAGUGAAAUUCUUCGCUUUUCCAUUGAGUUUUAGUCUUUUUUAGACUCAAUUUUUUCCCUGCCUAGGUACAUUAUGCAAUGGAAUAGUGUGCUGAAUGAUAGGUACAUUUUAAAAUAUAAAAUCAAAAUAAAAUACGCAAAUGGAUAUUGAAGAGAAAAGAGAAAUAGAGAAGACAAAGAUUUGAGGUGGUUAAGCCUUGGAUGUUUUGAUCCACCGCCCGAUAGGGGUACAUAGUUUUUAUAUUGACUGAUAGCUGUCUAUUUUUUUUUUGGAUAAGGUAAGUAUAAUGUCCAAAGGAAAAA